rnacentral:rRNA from 1 species
UACGUAGGGGGCGAGCGUUGUCCGGAUUCAUUGGGCGUAAAGCGCGCGUAGGCGGCUUGGCAAGUCGGCCGUGAAAUCUCCAGGCUCAACUUGGAGGGGUCGGGCGAGACUGCUGGGCUCGAGGUGGGCAGAGGGCAGUGGAAUUCCGGGUGUAGUGGUGGAAUGCGUAGAGAUCCGGGGAACACCAGUGGCGAAGGCGGCUGCCUGGGCCUGGCCUGACGCUGAGGCGCGAAAGCGUGGGGAGCGAUCCGG